rnacentral:rRNA from 1 species
UACGGAGGGUGCAAGCGUUAUCCGGAUUCACUGGGUUUAAAGGGUGCGUAGGUGGGCAGGUAAGUCAGUGGUGAAAUCUCCGGGCUUAACCCGGAAACUGCCAUUGAUACUAUCUGUCUUGAAUACCGUGGAGGUGAGCGGAAUAUGUCAUGUAGCGGUGAAAUGCUUAGAUAUGACAUAGAACACCAAUUGCGAAGGCAGCUCACUACACGAAUAUUGACACUGAGGCACGAAAGCGUGGGGAUCAAACAGGAUUAGAAACCCUAGGU